GGGCACAUGGUGUAGUUGGUUAUCACAUCCGCUUAGCAUGCGUGCUUGCGGGGGUGCUGGGUUCAAUUCCCAGUGUGUCCA
rnacentral:tRNA from 1 species